rnacentral:ncRNA from 1 species
GAAAGCCGUAUGAGGGAAAACCUCACGUACGGUUUGAUGAGGAGGGGCUGAGAUUUCAGCCCUUUACUCUAGU